GAUCUAUACUUUCUGUAUCUUUGGUGCUGGGACUCAUUCAAAAUCAAAGAUUAUCCACCUUGAAAUGAGUAGUUGUUAUUAAUUUAUGGUACUCAAAAUGAAAAGUGUUGAAGAUGAUUACGUACAGAAGUUCUACGUAUUGUCGGAAACAUUUAGAAUGGAAUGUUCUUUUCCUGGGUUUGGUUUUGUUGGUUAAGUAAUCUACUGCUUUUAGGCUACGAGUUGAGUCGUAUGGGUGAUUGAACAUAGUUAUAACAGGAAGCAAGCCCCCACUAAGAUAUGGAACAGGACACAGAACAAGAACUCAAUGACGGAGGAGAGUUUGCAUGCUCCGUGUGUGGGAUGUCUGAACAUUACAGUUACAAGGGGAGGGAGCCCCCGUUCUGUAAGAAGAUACGUCUCGUGGCGGAGAGCUACGUGAUGAAAGAUCCCUUCUCUCCUCCAAACAGCAACCAGUUCCUAAUCCUCGGCUCCGACUGUUCGCUGUGCAAGAACCCCGUAUGUCAGGACUGCAGCAUAUUUUACUGCAAGCCAUUCUGCCUUACGUGUGCUCACAAGAACAUAGACCAUUUCCCUCAGCAAGUCAAAGCCAAACUUAACUCUAUAAAAACGGAGUGAAGCCAUUUAUAAGUUGCAAAUAUUUUUAUUUUAUUUUUGUUUUGUUGUAUGCUACCCACCUUUGUGUGAUCUCUUUUUUUUUAACUGACAGCCAGUCCCUUUUAUUUACUAGGCGUUUGCUAAAAAUCCAGAGAUGCCAAUACCAAACCAAAAUUGACAUUAAAAAUAUAAAUAAUAGAUAGUAUUUGUUUAUUUACUUGGAGUUUUUCCUGUCACAUCCAACAUUUUUAAACUGUCUCUCUUUUGAUCAAACAAAGAUAUUGAUAAUUAUCAUACAAAAGACUAAUAAUAUUUUAUUGUGCUUCAUGUUAACAGUUGUUUGUUGUCUUGUGUUUCAUUAAUGUUAAUAAAAUAACAGAUAAACUGCAAAAAAAA